rnacentral:rRNA from 1 species
UACGAAGGGGGCUAGCGUUGUUCGGAUUUACUGGGCGUAAAGCGCACGUAGGCGGAUCGUUAAGUCGGGGGUGAAAUCCUGGAGCUCAACUCCAGAACUGCCUUCGAUACUGGCGAUCUUGAGUCCGGAAGAGGUGAGUGGAAUUCCUAGUGUAGAGGUGGAAUUCGUAGAUAUUAGGAAGAACACCAGUGGCGAAGGCGGCUCACUGGUCCGGUACUGACGCUGAGGCGCGAAAGCGUGGGGAGCAAACAGG